rnacentral:lncRNA from 10 species
ACAGGAAGACUUCCUGGAUUAAUCUGCUAAUCUUCAGCUCAUCCACCUGUUUAAUAGGCAAAACCUACAGAACUAGUCCACACUGAGUGGACCUCUGGGGCUCCCAGCUGCCGAUUGACCUGAACCCCAGAGUGAACUCGUGUUGCUUUGUGGCUUCAGGAAACCUUGGAACAUCUCUGUGCUGUUUUUUCAUUUGUGCUCAAUCAUUCCUGAGGCCUCCUCCUCCUGCUGCAAUUUGACAAGACUUGACCAAAUCAUUAACUCCCAGUUAAUGGGAUAAAAUGAGUUUGAAUCUGGGAUUCUGGUCAUUAACCCCAUGUCACCAUCUGCUCCAGCAGUUUGAUGGCAGGGCUAGGUGAAUUCUAAUCACCCAACACUUGUUAAACUGCUGAUUCCUGCUUCCCCACCUCUGCUGACUCAGCAUCUCUGGGGUGGGGCCUGCAAAGGCUCUCUUCCUUGACGGGGUUAUUGAGGGCAGCUCUAGGAACCCACCCAGGACCAGACCUGAUGAGGAGUUCCUCCUAUGCAUCAGGUCUACUUCUGUCCCUCUUUCCCCUGCGAAGGAAAAAUAGAAGAAAGAAGCCAUCUCUGUUUGCUUUCUCCCUGUCACUCAAUCUCUGGAGCCAACUGCUUCACAAAUAAAGAGAAGUGCACAGAGAGUCCCUGAAGCCCACCAUCAACAGACAGGCUUUCAACAAAACUGUAUCAGCACCGCCUUGGCCAUAGCUACACUCUACAGAAAAUGGGAGAGAGGAACAGCGCUAGAGAAGUUUGUCCUUGCCUGGUUCCCGGGUGGAACUUCCUCUCCCCCUUGUGUUCUAUGCGUGUGGUUACAGCUGCCUCUGAUCUUUGGUGACCAGCGGUUGGCAGUGGUGGUAUUUCAGCAUACCUUGAUCAUCGUGCUUAUUACACAGCCUCCUUUACCAUCAACCCUACCUACCUUCUUCUAGCCAUGCCCCCCACCUCCUCCCGUCUCUAUCCAUCUCUUCGCUCUUUUAAAAAAUACUUAAGUGUGUACAGAUCACAGUGACUUCAUUUGUGUGCCCAUUCACAUUUGAUGACUUCCAUAACCCCCAUAUUCUCUGUACAGAUUGGAUUUCCGUGGAAGAAAGAAAAUCAACAUGUAUUGGGAGUCAACAUCUCAUUCAGUCCUGUGAGUUUAUUCUGCCUAUUUUUCAGACAAGGAGACUAAGGCUUCAAGACGGUAAGUAAAUUGCCCACAGUGUCAC